UCGUCCAUUAUGAGUAUUAAUUAUGGUUAGGGAAUCUUACAGAAUGAAAAUGAAGGUGUGAAUGGAUUGUCUCAUCUAAAGCCUUGAAUGUGGGAAAAAGGCCAUUGUUGUUCAGCCAAGGAUGACUUGCCGGUAGCUUGUAUUAUGAUUACUCUAUAUUCGAUUUAUAUUAUGGAGAUGAUGGUUUAUAUAUAUUUACUUAUCUACAUAGUUUUAGUUGAUUUUUUUUCGUACGUAAUAUAAUACGAAAAAGUAUUUACUUAUUUAUAUAUGUGUGUUGGGGCAAGAAGUGUAACCAAGCUAGCCCGGCAAGUCAUCUAUGGCUAUGCAACUGUCUCUUCCUCUCAUUCUAGGCUUACGAUGACACGUAAAAAAUCCCAAAUAUCACUAAUAUGAUAUGAAUAUGGAUGA